rnacentral:lncRNA from 1 species
AUGUUUGAGAUCCAGAAAGGGGAGGACUCCAUGUGCUUGGAAUUGUUACUAAGUAUUAAUAGGCGAUAUAGGACCAAGGCUCCAGUGUGGAUUCCUCAUCUUGGUAGCACAAAUCCUUCACCCCAGGAACACAGGUUUUCUGGCUUCCACCACUGGCCUUUGGGCCUUCCUGGUGCAGAUGCUCGGUAUCAACAAGCACAAGACAUUGCCGUGGGCUCUAGGUCACUGAUCAGACGCAUGGAGAACACUGCCUCAGACUUUAGUCCUUCAGCUGGACUUGUGCAGGACAUUGCUGUGGGAUCCAGGCCCUUGGCUGGAUUCUGUGGAUCUCUUGUAUGUGGUUAGAUCUCUUGCACUCCUCUGCAUUUGACUUUGGGUGACUAUUAUAAAAUGAUCCAAUAAAUUAUGUGGCCUGUAUUAAAUCUAUUUCCCUUGCAAACCCUUACCACAGCACUUUCUCACUCCUAUAAAUUAUUGCAAACACUGAGUAACUCUUCCCUCUAUUUGUGUGUGUACAGUUGGGAGAAGCUGCAGAUACACAGAUAAUAGGCUAGGCAAAAACCUAUUAGUCAUGCAUUGUGUCUCCACAAUAUUUUUCCCCCAGAGCACUUUCACAUCUGUGUGAUCUAACUAGUUAAGUAGCACAAUAUAUUUGCAAAUAUCAUAAUUGUUGAAUUUAUGUCAGAAAAAUAAUGAAAAAUUUCUAAAGAUGCACUUAAUUGGCUAUGAGUUUCAGUAAACAGGUUCUCCUGUCAACAUCCUUCCAUCUUCCUCUAUUUCCAGUUAGCAUGUUCAAAAUUUCAUCUCUUAAUCUUUUCUGGAUUUUACCAGCAUGUCCUGUUGCCUUACACUGUGUCCUCUUUUUGUCAACCUAUAUCUUCCUAUGCAGUAUUAAAUUUUCAUAAAAUUCUAAUAAAGUCUGGAGAAAAGGAAAACAAUCCUAUAGUAAAGUGCAGAGGACAGGACAGACGUGGUCACACACACCUACAACUCCUAGCACUGAGGAGGCUAAGGCAGGAAGAUCGCCAUGAGUUCAAAGCCAGCAAGGGCAGCCUGAACUACAUAAUGAGACCCUGUCUCAAAAAAGAAAAAAAAAAAAAAAUCAGAGGACAGAAAUCAAAUCAUCUUUUAGUUUUUUGUAUUUAAAACUCUCAGAACCCUUGUUCAGUGAUUUUCCCAGAAUAUCCAACAAGAGUACACCCAUGGGAAAGC